AUUGAAACAUGUCAUUGUAACUUAUGUUUCAUUUCAGGCUCUUUCAUCACACUUCUCCCUUGAAGAAGACUGGGUGGUUAUUGAAUGGGCACAGGCGAAAGCCACCACAGAUGAACACUUUGAGCACAAUGGAGUGGAUUAUUGGUAAUCUGUCCAAGUCUCACCCAAACCUGUGCAAAGUCGCUACAGUGGGACUGCUUCUACCAACCUCCACAGCUGAUUGUGAGAGAGGUUUCAGCAGUUGAAUGUGUAAAGACCACCCACUAUUCACCAGUGAGCAUGAAAGUGCUUAAUGAUUUACUCAUGGUGUCCAUGCAGGGACAAAAAAUGAAUGACUUAAUUUCAGUGAUGCAGUAAAGGAAUGGCACAGUGCCAAAGACAAACACUUAUAUGGAAAAAAAAUGCCUAUGUGUUGUUAGUGUUAGUACAAAAGAAGUGGAAGGACAUAUGUGUUGUUCAAAAAUACUUACAAAAGAAGUGGACAUCUGUGUAGUGUAUAUGAUAUAUUGAUGGUUAUAUGAUUAUGUGAUAAUGUAGAAGUAAUGAAAUA